CAUCGUUUUUCGAUUAUGGUGGAAAAUUUAACCUGCCCACUGAGGUUUUAAAGGGCCGCGGUAUUUUGACCGUGCAAAGGUAGCAUAAUAAUUAGUUUUUUGAUUGGAAGCUGGAAUGAAUGGUUGGACGAGAAAAUAUCUGUCUCUUAUUAAUUUUUAUAGAAUUUUAUUUUUGAGUUAAAAAGCUUAAAUGAUUUUAAAAGACGAGAAGACCCUAUAGAGUUUAAUAUUUUUGUUAAAAGUUUUUGGUUUUAGGGAUUUAGAUUAAAUUUUUAAUUGAAUAUUUUGUUGGGGUGAUAGGAAGAUUGAAUAAACUCUUCUUUUAUUUUUACAUUAAUAGUUGAAUUUUUGAUCCAUUUUUUAUGAUUAUAAGAAUAAAUUACCUUAGGGAUAACAGCGUAAUCUUUUUUGAGAGUUCUUAUCGAAAGAGGGGGUUGCGACCUCGAUGUUGGAUUAAAGUUAAUUUUUGGUGUAGGAGCUAGAAUAUUGAGUCUGUUCGACUUUUAAAACUUUACAUGAUCUGAGU
rnacentral:rRNA from 1 species